AGUAAUAGUCAAGCCUCUCCAGGAACAUGGAAGACAUCCCUGAGGGGCAACAUCCUCCAACAAUGGGAAGAGCCUUGGGACAGCCAGUACCCAGUGGAUCCUGGGAUAGGAUGGAGGGGACAGGGCUCUGGGGUGGCCAUGGCUACUGCUGCUGCCGCUGCUCUGAGCCUCGGGAUUCCAAGCUGUAGGUGAAGAGGAGAAACAAAAGUGACUGCUAGAUGGAGAGACCUUGACCACAGCCUGCUCUUCAAGUGUCAUGCUCUACUCCAGCCUGAAGGCCUGGCAGCGGAAACUUCCUGGAAGAUCCAGUGACUCUUCAAUGUGGCGAGCAUCAAGAGGUCGUUUGCACCCUAAGAAUCUUUGAAUCGCUGCCUCCACUGCCUCACCUUGCUGUUCCUAGCCAAUCCUGGAGUGUUGUAUUGCCAUCUGUCCCCAGUCCUGGUGCAGCCCCUGCUAUGCAAAGCCUGCCUUGAACUGAACUUCUCAAUAAAGUCUGACCUUGCCUUCCUCUAAGAUGCUGCCCGCAGCUCUGCCGAGGCGAUGUUCUCCCUGACCGCCACCAGCAAUAAACUCAGCUUUCUCUUCUCUGAAGGUCAUGUUGCUGAUAUUUGGGAAGCCAGCGGGCGACCAUGUAAUUAAAUCCACCUGUUUUCCCUUUA